rnacentral:rRNA from 1 species
GAUGAACGCUGGCUACAGGCUUAACACAUGCAAGUCGAGGGGAAACGACGGGGAAGCUUGCUUCCCCGGGCGUCGACCGGCGCACGGGUGAGUAACGCGUAUCCAACCUGCCUCUGACUGAGGGAUAACCCGUCGAAAGUCGGCCUAAUACCUCAUGGUAUCGUCUGCGGGCAUCCAACGACGAUUAAAGAUUUCAUCGGUCAGGGUUGGGGAUGCGUCUGAUUAGCUUGUUGGCGGGGUAACGGCCCACCAAGGCUACGAUCAGUAGGGGUUCUGAGAGGAAGGUCCCCCACAUUGGAACUGAGACACGGUCCAAACUCCUACGGGAGGCAGCAGUGAGGAAUAUUGGUCAAUGGGCGAGAGCCUGAACCAGCCAAGUAGCGUGCAGGAAGACGGCCCUAUGGGUUGUAAACUGCUUUUAUGCGGGGAUAAAGUGAGGGACGUGUCCCUCAUUGCAGGUACCGCAUGAAUAAGGACCGGCUAAUUCCGUG